rnacentral:rRNA from 1 species
GGACGAACGCUGGCGGCGUGCUUCAAACAUGCAAGUCGAACGGAGUUAAGUGAAAGCUUGCUUUACUUAACUUAGUGGCGGACUGGUGAGUAACGCGUGAACAAUCUGCCUAUCACAGGGGGAUAACAGUUGGAAACGACUGCUAAUACCGCAUAAGACCACAGGGUGGCAUCACCUAGGGGUCAAAGGAGUUAAAUCUGGUGAUAGAUGAGUUUGCGUAUCAUUAGCUAGUUGGUGAGGGUAAAGGCCCACCAAGGCAACGAUGAUUAGCCGAUCUGAGAGGAUGACCGGCCACACUGGGACUGAGAUACGGCCCAGACUCCUACGGGAGGCAGCAGUUAGGAAUAUUGGGCAAUGGAGGAAACUCUGACCCAGCAACGCCGCGUGAAGGAAGAAGGUUUUCGGACUGUAAACUUCUGAUCUGAGGGAAAAAGAAAGUGAUGGUACCUCAGGAGAAAGCCACGGCUAACUACGUGCCAGCCGCUGC